CGGGGUGCAGCAGGCGCGAAAACUCUACAAUGCAGGCAACUGCGAUAGGGGAACAUCGAGUGAUCCUCAUAUUGGGGGUCUGUCCCACCGUCUAAAAAACGGUGGUUAGCAAGGGCCGGGCAAGACCGGUGCCAGCCGCCGCGGUAAUACCGGCGGCUCGAGUGGUGGCCGAUAUUAUUGAGUCUAAAGGGUCCGUAACCGGCUUUGCAAGUCUCUCGGGAAAUCCAGCGGCUUAACCGUUGGUCGUCCGGGGGGUACUACAUUGCUUGGGACUGGGAGAGGUAGGAGGUACUCAGGGGGUAGGAGUGAAAUCCUGUAAUCCUCUGGGGACCACCGGUGGCGAAGGCGUCCUACCAGAACAGGUCCGACGGUGAGGGACGAAAGCUAGGGGCACGAACCGGAUUAGAUACCCGGGUAGUCCUAGCCGUAAACGAUGCUCGCUAGGUGUCACAACAGUCGUGAACUGUUGUGGUGCCGUAGGGAAGCCGUGAAGCGAGCCACUUGGGAAGUACGACCGCAAGGUUGAAACUUAAAGGAAUUGGCGGGGGAGCAC
rnacentral:rRNA from 1 species